rnacentral:rRNA from 1 species
GACGAACGCUGGCGGCGUGCUUAACACAUGCAAGUCGAACGGAAAGGCCCUGCUUUUGUGGGGUGCUCGAGUGGCGAACGGGUGAGUAACACGUGAGUAACCUGCCCUUGACUUUGGGAUAACUUCAGGAAACUGGGGCUAAUACCGGAUAGGAGCUCCUGCUGCCUGGUGGGGGUUGGAAAUUUUCGGCGGUUGGGGAUGGACUCGCGGCUUAUCAGCUUGUUGGUGGGGUAGUGGCUUACCAAGGCUUUGACGGGUAGCCGGCCUGUGAGGGUGACCGGCAACAUUGGGACUGAGAUACGGCCCAGACUCCUACGGGAGGCAGCAGUGGGGAAUAUUGCACAAUGGGAGGAAGCCUGAUGCAGCAACGCCGCGUGCGGGAUGACGGCCUUCGGGUUGUAAACCGCUUUCGCCUGUGACGAAGCGUGAGUGACGGUAAUGGGUAAAGAAGCACCGGCUAACUACGUG